CCAAAUAGAGGUGAAUUUUUGUUAAUAAUUUUAUUGGGCUCCCCUUCUUCUAUAAGUUUAAAUCUAGCUAAAAAUAUAAAUAUUAUUUAAUGUAUAUAAAAUUAUAAAAUUAAUUACAAGUCAUUUAGUACAAAAAAUUUUUAAACUAGUUAACCUAGUAAAAGUAAAUAAAUGAUCUAUUAGGUGCCAGCAUUCGCGGUUACACCUAUAUUUGUUAUAUCUUUCGUGGUAUAGGGUCGUCCUGUAAAAACUAAAAGUUUUAGAGGUAAAAUUCUGCUUACUUUUUAAAAUAUUGAACCUAAAAAAUUAACCAAUAAACAGGGAUUAGAUACCCCUCUAUAUAAAUUAAACUAAUACCUAAGGUAGUAAAUGUUAUUCACCCCAAACCUAAAGAUUUUGGCGGCAAUCAACCUUUCCAGAGAGACCUGUUUAUUAAUUUGACAAUCCACCCUAUAUCUUACUUUUAUUAAAACUUGCAUACCGUCAUCUAAAUUUUAUUUUAAAAUAAAUAUUUCAAAGGUAACAAAAAUGUUAGAUCAACGCGCAGUAAAUAUAAAAGCUUCUGAUGGGUCUCAAUUUACACUAAAUAGAAGAAACUUUAAUAACUUUUAGAAAGAGGAUUUGGAUGUAAUAACUUUUUAAAAUAAUAAAAUGAAUAAGCCAUUGAUUGUGUACAUAUCGCCCGUCGCCCUCGACACGAGGUAAGUCGUAACAUAGUAGAAGUACUAGAAAGUGUUUCUUUACUUAU
rnacentral:rRNA from 1 species